UACAGAGACUGCAAGCGUUAUUCGGAUUCACUGGGCGUAAAGGGUGCGCAGGCGGCCGGGUGUGUCAGAUGUGAAAUCCCGAGGCUCAACCUCGGAACUGCGUCUGAAACUACUCGGCUAGAGUACUGGAGAGGGUAACGAAAUUCACGGUGUAGCAGUGAAAUGCGUAGAUAUCGUGAGGAACACCAGAGGCGAAGGCGGUUACCUGGACAGUUACUGACGCUCAGGCACGAAAGCAUGGGGAGCAAAAGGG
rnacentral:rRNA from 1 species